rnacentral:rRNA from 1 species
UACGGGGGGGGCAAGCGUUGUUCGGAAUUACUGGGCGUAAAGGGCUCGUAGGCGGCCAACUAAGUCAGACGUGAAAUCCCUCGGCUUAACCGGGGAACUGCGUCUGAUACUGGAUGGCUUGAGUGUGGGAGAGGGAUGCGGAAUUCCAGGUGUAGCGGUGAAAUGCGUAGAUAUCUGGAGGAACACCGGUGGCGAAGGCGGCAUCCUGGACCACGACUGACGCUGAGACGCGAAAGCGUGGGGAGCGAACGGG